rnacentral:rRNA from 1 species
UACAGAGGUCCCGAGCGUUGUUCGGAUUCACUGGGCGUAAAGGGCCUGUAGGCGGUCGUGCAGGUUUUCGGUGCCAGCCGUUGGCUUAACUGACGGAGUGCCGGGAAAACCGUGGGACUUGAGGGUCAGAGAGGGACACAGAAUUCCGGGUGGAGCGGUGAAAUGCGUAGAGAUCCGGAGGAAUACCGAAGGCGAAGGCCGUGUCCUGGCUGGCAUCUGACGCUGAGGGGCGAAAGCGAGGGGAGCGAACGGG